rnacentral:rRNA from 1 species
CAAGUUGAGCGAGGCCGGUAGCAAUACCGAGUCGAGAGGCGAACGGGUGAGUAACGCGUGGAUGACCUGCCCUCGAGUGGGGAAUGACCCGGGGAAACUCGGGCUAAUACCGCAUAAGACCGAGAGGUGAAAGCGGGGUCGCAAGAUCUCGUGCUCGAGGAGGGGUCCGCGUUCGAUUAGCUAGUUGGUAGGGUAAUGGCCUACCAAGGCGACGAUCGAUAGCCGGCCUGAGAGGGUGAUCGGCCACACUGGAACUGAGACACGGUCCAGACUCCUACGGGAGGCAGCAGUGGGGAAUUUUGCGCAAUGGGCUAACGCCUGACGCAGCAACGCCGCGUGGAGGAUGAAGGUCUUUGGAUUGUAAACUCCUGUCAGCAGGGAAAAAGGGACUGGGCCUAAUACGUCCAGAACUUGAUUGUACCUGCAGAGGAAGCCCCGGCUAACUCUGUGCCAGCAGCCGCGGUAAUACAGAGGGGGCAAGCGUUAUUCGGAAUUAUUGGGCGUAAAGGGCGCGUAGGCGGCUUUUCAAGUGACGGGUGAAAUCCCUCGGCUUAACCGAGGAACUGCCUGUCAGACUGGAAGGCUUGAGACCGGGAGAGGUGAGUGGAAUUCCCAGUGUAGCGGUGAAAUGCGUAGAUAUUGGGAGGAACACCAGUGGCGAAGGCGGCUCACUGGACCGGAACUGACGCUGAGGCGCGAAAGCGUGGGGAGCAAACAGGAUUAGAUACCCUGGUAGUCCACGCCGUAAACGAUGAGUGCUUGGUGUAGCGGGUAUCGACCCCUGCUGUGCCGAAGUCAACACAUUAAGCACUCCGCCUGGGGAGUACGGUCGCAAGACUGAAACUCAAGGAAUUGACGGGGGCCCGCACAAGCGGUGGA